GACGAACGCUGGCGGCGUGCUUAACACAUGCAAGUCGAACGGAAAGGCCCUGCUUUUGUGGGGUGCUCGAGUGGCGAACGGGUGAGUAACACGUGAGUAACCUGCCCUUGACUUUGGGAUAACUUCAGGAAACUGGGGCUACUACCGGAUAGGAGCUCCUGCUGCAUGGUGGGGGUUGGAAAGUUUCGGCGGUUGGGGAUGGACUCGCGGCUUAUCAGCUUGUUGGUGGGGUAGUGGCUUACCAAGGCUUUGACGGGUAGCCGGCCUGAGAGGGUGACCGGCCACAUUGGGACUGAGAUACGGAGCAGACUCCUACGGGAGGCAGCAGUGGGGAAUAUUGCACAAUGGGCGGAAGCCUGAUGCAGCAACGCCGCGUGCGGGAUGACGGCCUUCGGGUUGUAAACCGCUUUCGCCUGUGACGAAGCGUGAGUGACGGUAAUGGGUAAAGAAGCACCGGCUAACUACGUG
rnacentral:rRNA from 1 species